rnacentral:rRNA from 1 species
GACAGAGGGUGCAAACGUUGCUCGGAAUCACUGGGCGUAAAGGGCGCGUAGGCGGGAAUGUAAGUCGGGCGUGAAAUCCCCCAGGCUCAACCUGGGAACUGCACUCGAAACUGCGUUUCUUGAGUAUCGGAGAGGAAAGCGGAAUUCCUGGUGUAGAGGUGAAAUUCGUAGAUAUCAGGAGGAACACCAGUGGCGAAGGCGGCUUUCUGGACGGUAACGUG